UACGUAGGGGGCAAGCGUUGUCCGGAUUCAUUGGGCGUAAAGAGCGUGUAGGCGGCCAGGUAGGUCGGUUGUGAAAACUGGAGGCUCAACCUUCAGAGGUCGACCGAAACCAUCUGGCUAGAGUCCGGGAGAGGAGAGUGGAAUUCCUGGUGUAGCGGUGAAAUGCGUAGAUAUUGGGAGGAACACCAGUGGCGAAGGCGGCUCACUGGACCGGUACUGACGCUGAGGCGCGAAAGCGUGGGGAGCAAACAGGG
rnacentral:rRNA from 1 species